GUUGAUGAGUCUGAAUUUUAGGUGGUAAACUGUAAAUUUACUUAUGGUGCUUCGCACUCCUUCAAUA
rnacentral:tRNA from 1 species